UACAGAGGGGGCAAGCGUUGUUCGGAAUUACUGGGCGUAAAGGGCGCGUAGGCGGCCUUCUAAGUCGAACGUGAAAUCCCUCGGCUUAACCGGGGAACUGCGUCUGAUACUGGAUGGCUUGAGAUUGGGAGAGGGAUGCGGAAUUCCUGGUGUAGCGGUGAAAUGCGCAGAUAUCAGGAGGAACACCGAUGGCGAAGGCAGGUCUCUGGGCAUUAACUGACGCUGAGGAGCGAAAGCAUGGGGAGCGAACAGG
rnacentral:rRNA from 1 species